rnacentral:rRNA from 1 species
GACGAACGCUGGCGGCGUGCUUAACACAUGCAAGUCGAACGGAAAGGCCCUGCUUUUGUGGGGUGCUCGAGUGGCGAACGGGUGAGUAACACGUGAGUAACCUGCCCUUGACUUUGGGAUAACUUCAGGAAACUGGGGCUAAUACCGGAUAGGAGCUCCUGCUGCAUGGUGGGGGUUGGAAAGUUUCGGCGGUUGGGGAUGGACUCGCGGCUUAUCAGCUUGUUGGUGGGGUAGUGGCUUACCAAGGCUUUGACGGGUAGCCGGCCUGAGAGGGUGACCGGCCACAUUGGGACUGAGAUACGGCCCAGACUCCUACGGGAGGCAGCAGUGGAGAAUAUUACACAAUGGGCGGAAGCCUGAUGCAGCAACGCCGCGUGCGGGAUGACGGCCUUCGGGUGGUAAACCGAUUUCGCCUGUGACGAAGCGUGAGUGACGGUAAUGGGUAAAGAAGCAACGGCUAACUACGUG